UUAUAACUGUCAAGGAGUUACAACUUUCGAAGAUAUAAAUCAGUAAGCGGUGCGACAACUCUUCAGGUAAAUUAUAACCCGACGAGAUGGGAAUCUCACUGACUAUGUUAGCUGAAUCGAAUACUUACUUGUUGUUCAACCGUUGGAUACUGGUUCUUCUUGUGAUA